rnacentral:rRNA from 1 species
GGAUUAGAUACCCUGGUAGUCCACGCCGUAAACGAUGAGAACUAGAUGUUGGGAGGAAUAGCCUCUCGGUGUCGCAGCUAACGCAUUAAGUUCUCCGCCUGGGGAGUACGCCGGCAACGGUAAAACUCAAAGGAAUUGACGGGGACCCGCACAAGCGGUGGAGCAUGUGGUUUAAUUCGAUGCAACGCGAAGAACCUUACCUGCCCUUGACAUACUCGGAACUUUUCAGAGAUGAAUUGGUGCCUUCGGGAACCGAGAUACAGGUGCUGCAUGGCUGUCGUCAGCUCGUGCUG